UACGUAGGGUGCAAGCGUUAAUCGGAAUUACUGGGCGUAAAGCGUGCGCAGGCGGUUUUUUAAGCCAGAUGUGAAAUCCCCGGGCUCAACCUGGGAACUGCAUUUGGGACUGGAAGGCUAGAGUAUGGCAGAGGGGGGUGGAAUUCCACGUGUAGCAGUGAAAUGCGUAGAGAUGUGGAGGAACACCGAUGGCGAAGGCAGCCCCCUGGGCCUAUACUGACGCUCAUGCACGAAAGCGUGGGGAGCAAACAGG
rnacentral:rRNA from 1 species